rnacentral:rRNA from 1 species
CGGCAACAGCUCAAAUUUGAAAUCUGGCUCUCGGGCCCGAGUUGUAAUUUGUAGAGGAUACUUUUGAUGCGGUGCCUUCCGAGUUCCCUGGAACGGGACGCCAUAGAGGGUGAGAGCCCCGUCUGGCAGGACACCCAGCCCGUGUGAAGCUCCCUCGAC